AAAUACUCUCAUGCAGGUGAGCUA
rnacentral:piRNA from 1 species